GAUGAACGCUGGCGGCGUGCCUAAUACAUGCAAGUCGAGCGAACAGACGAGGAGCUUGCUCCUCUGACGUUAGCGGCGGACGGGUGAGUAACACGUGGAUAACCUACCUAUAAGACUGAGAUAACUUCGGGAAACCGGAGCUAAUACCGGAUAAUAUAUUGAACCGCAUGGUUCAAUAGUGAAAGACGGUUUUGCUGUCACUUAUAGAUGGAUCCGCGCCGCAUUAGCUAGUUGGUAAGGUAACGGCUUACCAAGGCAACGAUGCGUAGCCGACCUGAGAGGGUGAUCGGCCACACUGGAACUGAGACACGGUCCAGACUCCUACGGGAGGCAGCAGUAGGGAAUCUUCCGCAAUGGGCGAAAGCCUGACGGAGCAACGCCGCGUGAGUGAUGAAGGUCUUCGGAUCGUAAAACUCUGUUAUUAGGGAAGAACAAAUGUGUAAGUAACUAUGCACGUCUUGGCGGUACCUAAUCAGAAAGCCACGGCUAACUACGUG
rnacentral:rRNA from 1 species